UGCGUAGGCGGUUUGAUAAGUCAGGAGUGAAAGUCUACGGCUUAACUGUAGAAUUGCUUUUGAUACUGUCAGACUUGGAUGUGGUUGAGGUAUGCGGAAUGUGGCAUGUAGCGGUGAAAUGCAUAGAUAUGCCAUAGAACACCAAUUGCGAAGGCAGCAUACCGGGCCAUGAUUGACGCUGAGGCACGAAAGCGUGGGGAGCGAACAGGAUUAGAUACCCUGGUAGUCCC
rnacentral:rRNA from 1 species